AUUGAACGCUGGCGGCAUGCUUUACACAUGCAAGUCGAACGGUAACAGGUCUUCGGAUGCUGACGAGUGGCGAACGGGUGAGUAAUGCAUCGGAACGUGCCCAGUCGUGGGGGAUAACGCAGCGAAAGCUGUGCUAAUACCGCAUACGAUCUAUGGAUGAAAGCGGGGGACCGUAAGGCCUCGCGCGAUUGGAGCGGCCGGUGUAAGAUUAGCUAGUUGGGGGGGUAAAGGCCCACCAAGGCGACGAUCUGUAGCUGGUCUGAGAGGACGACCAGCCACACGGGGACUGGGACACGGCCCAGACUCCUACGGGAGGCAGCAGUGGGGAAUUUUGGACAAUGGGCGCAAGCCUGAUCCAGCAAUGCCGCGUGCAGGAAGAAGGCCUUCGGGUUGUAAACUGCUUUUGUACGGAACGAAACGGUCUGGGUUAAUACCCUGGGCUAAUGACGGUACCGUAAGAAUAAGAACCGGCUAACUACGUGCCAGCAGCCGCCGUAAAAC
rnacentral:rRNA from 1 species